GACGAACGCUGGCGGCGUGCCUAAUACAUGCAAGUAGAACGCUGAAGGAGGAGCUUGCUUCUCUGGAUGAGUUGCGAACGGGUGAGUAACGCGUAGGUAACCUGCCUGGUAGCGGGGGAUAACUAUUGGAAACGAUAGCUAAUACCGCAUAAGAGUAGAUGUUGCAUGACAUUUGCUUAAAAGGUGCAAUUGCAUCACUACCAGAUGGACCUGCGUUGUAUUAGCUAGUUGGUGGGGUAACGGCUCACCAAGGCGACGAUACAUAGCCGACCUGAGAGGGUGAUCGGCCACACUGGGACUGAGACACGGCCCAGACUUCUACGGGAGGCAGCAGUAGGGAAUCUUCGGCAAUGGACGGAAGUCUGACCGAGCAACGCCGCGUGAGUGAAGAAGGUUGUCGGAUCGUAAAGCUCUGUUGUAAGAGAAGAACGAGUGUGAGAGUGGAAAGUUCACACUGUGACGGUAUCUGACCAGAAAGGGACGGCUAACUACGUG
rnacentral:rRNA from 1 species